rnacentral:misc_RNA from 1 species
GAUGAAGAACGCAGCGAAAUGCGAUAAGUAAUGUGAAUUGCAGAAUUCAGUGAAUCAUCGAAUCUUUGAACGCACAUUGCACCCGCCAGUAUUCUGGCGGGCAUGCCUGUUCGAGCGUCAUUACAACCCUCAGGCCCCCGGGCCUGGCGUUGGGGAUCGGCGGAAGCCCCCUGCGGGCACAACGCCGUCCCCCAAAUACAGUGGCGGUCCCGCCGCAGCUUCCAUUGCGUAGUAGCUAACACCUCGCAACUGGAGAGCGGCGCGGCCACGCCGUAAAACACCCAACUUCUGAAUGUUGACCUCGAAUCAGGUAGGAAUACCCGCUGAACUUAAGCAUAUCAAUAAGCGGAGGA